rnacentral:rRNA from 1 species
UGGCCUACGGGACGCAGCAGUGAGGAAUAUUGGUCAAUGGCCGAGAGGCUGAACCAGCCAAGUCGCGUGAGGGAUGACGGCCCUACGGGUUGUAAACCUCUUUUGUCGGGGAGCAAGACCCGCCACGAGUGGCGGAGCGAGAGUACCCGAAGAAAAAGAAUCGGCUAACUCCGUGCCAGCAGCCGCGGUAAUAAGGAGGAUGCGAGAGUUAUCCGGAUUUAUUGGGUUUAAAGGGGGCGUAGGCGGUCCGUUAAGUCAGCGG